AGAGUUUCAUUCUGGCUCAGGAUGAACGCCGGCGGUGUGCCUAAUACAUGCAAGUCGUACGCACUGGCCCAACUGAUUGAUGGUGCUUGCACCUGAUUGACGAUGGAUCACCAGUGAGUGGCGGACGGGUGAGUAACACGUAGGUAACCUGCCCCGGAGCGGGGGAUAACAUUUGGAAACAGAUGCUAAUACCGCAUAACAACAAAAGCCACAUGGCUUUUGUUUGAAAGAUGGCCUUGGCUAUCACCCUGGGAUGGACCUGCGGUGCAUUAGCUAGUUGGUAAGGUAACGGCUUACCAAGGCGAUGAUGCAUAGCCGAGUUGAGAGACUGAUCGGCCACAAUGGAACUGAGACACGGUCCAUACUCCUACGGGAGGCAGCAGUAGGGAAUCUUCCACAAUGGGCGCAAGCCUGAUGGAGCAACACCGCGUGAGUGAAGAAGGGUUUCGGCUCGUAAAGCUCUGUUGUUGGAGAAGAACGUGCGUGAGAGUAACUGUUCACGCAGUGACGGUAUCCAACCAGAAAGUCACGGCUAACUACGUGCCAGCAGCCGCGGUAAUACGUAGGUGGCAAGCGUUAUCCGGAUUUAUUGGGCGUAAAGCGAGCGCAGGCGGUUGCUUAGGUCUGAUGUGAAAGCCUUCGGCUUAACCGAAGAAGUGCAUCGGAAACCGGGCGACUUGAGUGCAGAAGAGGACAGUGGAACUCCAUGUGUAGCGGUGGAAUGCGUAGAUAUAUGGAAGAACACCAGUGGCGAAGGCGGCUGUCUGGUCUGCAACUGACGCUGAGGCUCGAAAGCAUGGGUAGCGAACAGGAUUAGAUACCCUGGUAGUCCAUACCGUAAACGAUGAGUGC
rnacentral:rRNA from 1 species